rnacentral:rRNA from 1 species
AACGUGGGGAACCUGCCCCAUAGUCUGGGAUACCACUUGGAAACAGGUGCUAAUACCGGAUAAGAAAGCGGAUCGCAUGAUCAGCUUUUAAAAGGCGGCGUAAGCUGUCGCUAUGGGAUGGCCCCGCGGUGCAUUAGCUAGUUGGUAAGGUAGAGGCUUACCAAGGCGAUGAUGCAUAGCCGAGUUGAGAGACUGAUCGGCCACAUUGGGACUGAGACACGACCCAAACUCCUACGGGAGGCAGCAGGC